rnacentral:rRNA from 1 species
AAGCGUAUUAGCGGAAGUUUUCGGAUGGAAGCGGAUAUGACCUAUAGGCGGACGGGUGAGUAACGCGUGGAUAACCUGCCUCAUACAGGGGGAUAACAGUUAGAAAUGACUGCUAAUACCGCAUAAGCGCACAGGACCGCAUGGUCCGGUGUGAAAAACUCCGGUGGUAUGGGAUGGAUCCGCGUCUGAUUAGCUGGUUGGUGAGGUAACGGCCCACCAAGGCGACGAUCAGUAGCCGACCUGAGAGGGUGGCCGGCCACAUUGGGACUGAGACACGGCCCAAACUCCUACGGGAGGCAGCAGUGGGGAAUAUUGCACAAUGGGGGAAACCCUGAUGCAGCAACGCCGCGUGAGUGAAGAAGUAUUUCGGUAUGUAAAGCUCUAUCAGCAGGGAAGAAGAAAGACGGUACCUGACUAAGAAGCCCCGGCUAACUACGUGCCAGCAGCCGCGGUAAUACGUAGGGGGCAAGCGUUAUCCGGAUUUACUGGGUGUAAAGGGAGCGUAGACGGUUGUGCAAGUCUGAAGUGAAAGCCCGCGGCUCAACUGCGGACUGCUUUGGAAACUGUAAAACUGGAGUGCAGGAGAGGCAGGCGGAAUUCCUAGUGUAGCGGUGAAAUGCGUAGAUAUUAGGAGGAACACCAGUGGCGAAGGCGGCCUGCUGGACUGUAACUGACGUUGAGGCUCGAAGGCGUGGGGAGCAAACAGGAUUAGAUACCCUGGUAGUCCACGCGGUAAACGAUGAUCACUAGGUGUCGGAGGGUAGAGACCCUUCGGUGCCGCCGCAAACGCAGUAAGUGAUCCACCUGGGGAGUACGUUCGCAAGAAUGAAACUCAAAG